UGCGAAGAGUGACUCCCAGUGCCGAUGGUCUAACGACCGUCGGCUUUUCUGGAAUGUAAAAAGUUCCGGGUAAUAAGGGCCGGGUAAGACUGGUGCCAGCCGCCGCGGUAACACCAGCGGCUCGAGUGGUAACCGAUUUUAUUGGGCCUAAAGCGUCCGUAGCCGGACCGACGGGUCCCUUGUGAAAUCGGACGGCUUAACCGUUCGGCUUGCAGGGGAAACUGUUGGUCUUGAGGCUGGUAGGCGCCGAGGGUACUCCGGGGGUAGCAGUGAAAUGCUAUAAUCCUUGGGGGACCGCCAGUGGCGAAAGCGCUCGGCGAGGCCAGACCUGACGGUGAGGGACGAAGGCCAGGGUAGCGAACCGGAUUAGAUACCCGGGUAGUCCUGGCUGUAAAGGAUGUGAGUUAGGUGCUAGGCGUUCCUCGAGAACGUCCGGUGCCGAAGGGAAGCCAUUAAGCUCACCGCCUGGGAAGUACGGUCGCAAAACUGAAACUUAAAGGAAUUGGCGGGGAGCAC
rnacentral:rRNA from 1 species